rnacentral:rRNA from 1 species
GCUUGUCUCAAAGAUUAAGCCAUGCAUGUCUCAGUAUAAGCUUUUACACGGCGAAACUGCGAAUGGCUCAUUAAAACAGUUAUCGUUUCUUUGGUGGUUAUUGAUUACAUGGAUAACCGUGGUAAUUCUAGAGCUAAUACAUGCGCCCAGACCCAACUUUUAGGAAGGGUUGUAUUUAUUAGACUUAAGCCAAUAUUCCUUGUGUCUAUUGCGAUGAUUCAUAAUAACUGAUCGAAUCUCAAAUUUGAGAUAAAUCAUUCAAGUUUCUGCCCUAUCAGCUUUGGAUGGUAGGGUAUUGGCCUACCAUGGCUUUAACGGGUAACGGAGAAUUAGGGUUCGAUUCCGGAGAGGGAGCCUGAGAAACGGCUACCACAUCCAAGGAAGGCAGCAGG